CCUACGGGAGGCAGCAGUGGGGAAUUUUGGACAAUGGGCGCAAGCCUGAUCCAGCCAUGCCGCGUGCGGGAAGAAGGCCUUCGGGUUGUAAACCGCUUUUGUCAGGGAAGAAAUCCUUUGGGUUAAUACCUCGGGGGGAUGACGGUACCUGAAGAAUAAGCACCGGCUAACUACGUGCCAGCAGCCGCGGUAAUACGUAGGGUGCGAGCGUUAAUCGGAAUUACUGGGCGUAAAGCGUGCGCAGGCGGUUGUGUAAGACAGAUGUGAAAUCCCCGGGCUCAACCUGGGAACUGCAUUUGUGACUGCACGGCUCGAGUACGGCAGAGGGGGAUGGAAUUCCGCGUGUAGCAGUGAAAUGCGUAGAUAUGCGGAGGAACACCGAUGGCGAAGGCAGUCCCCUGGGCCUGUACUGACGCUCAUGCACAAAAGCGUGGGGAGCAAACAGGACUAGAUACCCUGGUAGUCCACGCCCUAAACGAUGUCAACUGGUUGUUGGGUGGGUUUCUACUCAGUAACGAAGCUAACGCGUGAAGUUGACCGCCUGGGGAGUACGGCCGCAAGGUUGAAACUCAAAUGAAUUGACGG
rnacentral:rRNA from 1 species